AGCGAACGCUGGCGGCAGGCCUAAUACAUGCAAGUCGAACGGAUCCUUCGGGAUUAGUGGCGGACGGGUGAGUAACACGUGGGAACGUGCCCUUUGGUUCGGAACAACUCAGGGAAACUUGAGCUAAUACCGGAUAAGCCCUUCGGGGAAGGAUUUAUCGCCAUUGGAGCGGCCCGCGUCUGAUUAGCUAGUUGGUGGGGUAAAGGCCUACCAAGGCGACGAUCAGUAGCUGGUCUGAGAGGANGAUCAGCCACACUGGGACUGAGACACGGCCCAGACUCCUACGGGAGGCAGCAGUAGGGAAUCUUGCGCAAUGGGCGAAAGCCUGACGCAGCCAUGCCGCGUGAAUGAUGAAGGUCUUAGGAUUAG
rnacentral:rRNA from 1 species